GUUGCGACUUCGGGAAAAGGUGGGUGCUGGCCUCAGUGGGGCGGAGCAGUUUAGCCUCCGUCGCCUGGCGGUUGGUUGCCGGGGUGUUUUUUUUUCCCCUUAAAUAUUCACAGGCGAAAUAAGCUUAAGGUGGCGUUUUCACGCGUAAUGACGAAAACCUUAUUGGACACAAAACGUUCCUUUAUUAGCAAAAUAUAGAUCUUUCUGAUAAAAGAACAGGUCCGCCAUACCCGCCCCUGAGGUAAGCCGGAAGAGGCGUCGCCAGCGUACGUGGUCAUGGAGCGAUCCUUCCAGCCACAUACACGGCGGCUUAGAGACCGGAAUGCGAGCAGGAAACCCGGAACUUGUAGGAAAUAACGUUCUAGAAUAUCUUCAGGACCUAUGGGUGGGAAUAUAUGAUAGAAAAAACUAACGAGAAGCAAUUGAUUUGACUGGGUUAGGACAAAAAUAAUCUGACCUUCAAAACUCCGUGAUGAACUAACUCCAUGAUGAACCCAAAAUGCCAAGUAUAUGACUGAACUUAAAAGUGAUAUCAUCUUACGACUGAAAAGUGGGAAAAAAAAAUACAUCAUAAGAGAGAAAAAAGCCACAGAGUGGGAGAAAUUUGUUACACAUAUGAUUGACAAAGGCAAUUAUCCAGAAUGUAUAGGAUCUAAACAGACAACCCAAUCGAAAAAUGGAUAAAAUUACUGAACAGGUGCUUUGGAAAUGACAAAAUCCAGAGAGGCAACAAACAUGUAAGGUGAGCAAGCGCAUUACAAAUCAGGGAAAUGCAUUAAAACCAUGAUUAGUUUCAAUUGAUUGGUUUUUAAGCCACACCCACUAGAUUGGCAAAAAUUAGGAACUCUGGCCAGGCGUGGUGGUGGCUCACGCCUGUAAUCCCAGCAUUUUGGAAGGAUGAGGCAGGCGGAUCACCUGACCUCCUGACUCCCGACUUGAGGUCAGGAGUUUGAAACAAGCCUGGCCAACAUGAUGAGGCUCCGGCUCCACUAAAAAUACAAAAAAAAAUAAAAAUAAAAACGGCCGGGCGCGGUGGCCCAUGGCUGUAAUCCCAGCACUUUGGGAGGCCGAGGCGGGCGGAUCACGAGGUCAGGAGAUCCAGACCAUCCUGGCUAACACGGUGAAACCCUGUCUCUACUAAAAAUACAAAAAAAAAAAA
rnacentral:lncRNA from 1 species